GGAUCCCAUUAUUGAUCAAGGCUAUAAUACUUGACUAUUUGGCGAAUUUUGAGAUAAUUGUUGGGAUUCCAUUGUUGAUAAAGGCCAUAAUAUUAUGUAUACAGGAUAUACUAGAAGUUCUCCUCGAUGAUAUAGGAAUCCUCGAAAUGGAAUCUAUAUUUCUACAUACUAAUAUUACGAUUAUUCCUCAUUCCGUUUUAUAUGUUUCAUUAUCCUAUUGCAUUAUCAAUCCUUGCACUUCAGCUUCCUCUAACUUCGAUGACAGCUUCUCAUAACUUAUGUCAUCAUCUUUACACCGUAUAUGAUAAUAUAUUGAUAAUAUAACUAUUAGUUGAUAGACGAUAGUGGAUUUUUAUUCCAACACACUAAUUAUCAUUCGUUACAUCUCAAAUUGGUUAGAGAAGUUACAAACAUUAUUAUUGAUUUAUCCAAGGAUAGUUUUCACAAGAAAACAAGCGCAAGUGGUUUAGUGGUAAAAUCCAACGUUGCCAUCGUUGGGCCCCCGGUUCGAUUCCGGGCUUGCGCAGUUUCUUUUUUUUCUGAUUUUUAUUUUUUUGUUCCUGAAAAUUUUUCGUAUUAUUAGAUC
rnacentral:tRNA from 1 species